rnacentral:rRNA from 1 species
CCUCUCGGGGGUAAGCGGGCAGAACUUGCAAGUAUUGAUGAGAGAUUCAGGCUUACUAGUUGGUGGCUGAGAGUAUAUUUUAGAUUAGAUCCUUCGGGGUCGGAUUGAUGUGUGCUCUUUGAUCUGCUGGUAGUGCGCCGCAUUUCUCUCUAUCAUCCGGGUUGCAUGCAACUAAUAUGGUGUUUUAGGUGCUGGGGUACUGCAAAUCUUCGGGUUUGAGUCCUGGUUUCCGAACACUUUUGUGGUUGUUGACUUGAGUGAGCAGGCGUUUGUCGCGGUCGAGGGUCUGGACGAGCAGGGUACACAUGAUGUGUGGACGGGUAACCGUAGCAUGUUGUGUGUACUGGUUGGCGGUCAGACUUUUCGGCACUGCUCAAAAUUGCAAUCUAAAGCAUGCGUGGUCUGCCUGU